UACGGAGGGGGCUAGCGUUGUCCGAAGUUACUGGGCGUAAAGCGCGCGUAGGCGGGUUGGUAAGUCCGCUGUGAAAGCCCGGAGCUUAACUCCGGAGGGUCGGUGGAUACUGCCAGUCUUGAAGGUGCUAGGGGGAGAUGGAAUUACCGGUGUAGCGGUGAAAUGCGUAGAUAUCGGUAGGAACACCAGUGGCGAAGGCGGUCUCCUGGGGCAUUCUUGACGCUGAGGCGCGAAAGCAUGGGGAGCGAACAGG
rnacentral:rRNA from 1 species